GUCUACAGCCAUGCUACCCUGAACAAGCCUGAUCCCGUCUGAUCUUGGAAGCUAAGCAGGGUCGGACUUGAUGAGUACUCAGAUGGGAAACCACCUAGGAAGACCAGGUGUUGUAGGCG
rnacentral:rRNA from 1 species